UUGGCCAGUAUUUUUGGGCUUAUUUCUUCCCUCGUUUUAGUGAGGAGCAGUUGCAGGGGGGAGAACGUGUAGACUGGUUGGUCUCACUUAUUUAAGGCAGAAAACCUCAUGGAAAUGCAUGCAAACCCUUGGACAGGAGGAACUCUGGGUCUACUAUUGUAGUUUCUUUUCAUACCACACUCCCCAAGCCCAAACAAAACCCCAGCCGAGUUCCUGCUUCUGAGCUCCAGCAAGCAGGCGGAGAUAAAGGAUGAGAGAUGCAGGAAGAACUCAGUUCCAGACAGCUGCGGAGCUGUGCAGAAGGCCGUACCCUUUGCUUGCAUCCCUGAACCUGUUGCAGUGGGGUCCAUAUACUGUUUGUA